UACAGAGGGGGCAAGCGUUAUUCGGAAUUAUUGGGCGUAAAGGGCGCGUAGGCGGCCAUUCAAGUGACGGGUGAAAGCCCUCGGCUUAACCGAGGAACUGCCUGUCAGACUGGAUGGCUUGAGACCGGGAGAGGCGAGUGGAAUUCCCGGUGUAGCGGUGAAAUGCGCAGAUAUCGGGAGGAACACCAAUGGCGAAGGCAGCUCGCUGGGACGGUACUGACGCUGAGACGCGAAAGCGUGGGGAGCAAACAGG
rnacentral:rRNA from 1 species